CCUCUUGUGAGAUCUCGGCAAAAAGUCUGACGAUUUAUUCCAAAACAUGAUGCAUGAUGGGAUACACUAAGCUUUGUAUAGUGCUCCGGAGCAGUAUUGGAGAGGUUUAGUGUGUGUUAAGGACGCUGUGCUUUGGCAUUAUUAAGACCGGGGACAGUCUCGUUCACACACUGUCACGUACACACACUCUCAAGUGGCCAAGACUGCAAGUGUGGGUAUCUGGACAGGGUCAAAGUCUUAAAAAUGAUCCCUAAACACAUCACAGUCUUAAUAAUCCAGUUUAACACUGUAUGAUAUUGUACAAGCCCCAGGACGGUCUCAUCUGACACUAUCAAAAGAAUUCAUAUGACUAUAGCUUGCUAUUAAUUACUUGCUUUCAAUAAUGGAUGCAUUUAACAUUUAAUUAUACAGCAUCUUUACAGAGGUGUAAUGUACAAGUUGCACGUAAUUAAUAAUAUUUCCUUCUUUCUGUCUUACAGGAUUUUUUGCAGAUAAUCCUAAUGCUGUUCUUCUUUUUCAGGUCUAAAAUAUCAAGCUCAACAGCUCACUCAAGAGCCAACCCUCACAAACCUUCCUAAAAACUAAAAGAGCUAUUACUGAGUCUCAGCGAAUCUUGCCAUGAUCAGCUCUUCCCAGAAGAGAAGGAAGACCAAGGAAAUUAUUUGCUCAGGAUGAGGAAUGAAGAUGGCCAUCUUGUGCUCAAACAAACAGAAGUCCUCUGAUGAUCUCAUCAGCCAAAUGAGGGGUUUUGACCAAAUGAUGCUCUUGAAAGGAGUGAAAGAAGAGGAUGUGCUAAAUUCUCUUCAGAGAAAAAGCUUCUCAAAAGGUCUCAAAACAGCUUGAAGAAUGGU